AUACUCAUCUAUCAACAAAAAUUCUUGUUAUCCUAAUUUCUAAAUCACAACCUCAAAUAUACAAUAUUUCUAUAAAAAAUGAAAACUUUCCUAAAAUAGAAUUUUUGAAAAUUAUUUAAAAAAAAUACAACUAUUGAUCAAAAAAUCUAAAAGAAUACACAUUUAUCAACAAAAAUUCUUCUUAUCGAAAUUUCUAAAUCAGAACCCCAAAACUACAAUAGUUUUCAAUAAAAAUAAAAACUUUCCUUAAAUAGAAUUUUAGACAAUUUAUCUAAAAUAUACAACCUAUUGAUAAAAAAAAUCUUAAAGAAUACACAUCUAUCAACAAAAAAUUUUGUUAUCCUCAUUUCUAAAUCAGAACCUGAAAACUACAAUAGUUCUCAAUAAAAAUAAAAAAUUUACUUAUAUAGAAUUUUUGAGAAUUUUAUCUAAAAUAUACAACCUAUUGAUAAAAAAAUCUUAAAAAUACUCAUCUAUCAACAAAAAUUCUUGUUAUUCUAAUUUCUAAAUCACAACCCCAAAUCAACAAAAUUUCUAUUAAAAAGUAAAACUUUCCUAAAAUAGAAUUUUUGAGAAUUUUAUCUAAAAAAUACAACUUAUUGAUCAAAAACCUAAAAUAAUACACAUCUACCAACAAAAAUUCUUGUUAUCCUAAUUUAUAAAUCACAAUCUCAAAUCUACAAUAUUUCU
rnacentral:lncRNA from 1 species